GAUGAACGCUGGCGGCGUGCCUAAUACAUGCAAGUCGAGCGAACGGACGAGAAGCUUGCUUCUCUGAUGUUAGCGGCGGACGGGUGAGUAACACGUGGAUAACCUACCUAUAAGACUGGGAUAACUUCGGGAAACCGGAGCUAAUACCGGAUAAUAUUUUGAACCGCAUGGUUCAAAAGUGAAAGACGGUCUUGCUGUCACUUAUAGAUGGAUCCGCGCUGCAUUAGCUAGUUGGUAAGGUAACGGCUUACCAAGGCAACGAUGCAUAGCCGACCUGAGAGGGUGAUCGGCCACACGGGAACUGAGACACGGUCCAGACUCCUACGGGAGGCAGCAGUAGGGAAUCUGCCGCAAUGGUCGAAAGCCUGACGGAGCAACGCCGCGUGAGUGAUGAAGGUCUUCGGAUCGUAAAACUCUGUUAUUAGGGAAGAACAUAUGUGUAAGUAACUGUGCACAGCUUGACGGUACCUAAUCAGAAAGCCACGGCUAACUACGUG
rnacentral:rRNA from 1 species